GAUUCUGGCUCAGGAUGAACGCUAGCGACAGGCUUAACACAUGCAAGUCGAGGGGCAGCAUAAAAGUAGCAAUACUUGGUGGCGACCGGCGCACGGGUGAGUAACGCGUAUGCAACCUACCUAUCAGAGGGGAAUAACCCGGCGAAAGUCGGACUAAUACCGCAUAAAACAGGGGCACCGCAUGGUGAUAUUUGUUAAAGAAAUUCGCUGAUAGAUGGGCAUGCGUUCCAUUAGGUAGUUGGUGAGGUAACGGCUCACCAAGCCGACGAUGGAUAGGGGAACUGAGAGGUUGGUCCCCCACACUGGUACUGAGACACGGACCAGACUCCUACGGGAGGCAGCAGUGAGGAAUAUUGGUCAAUGGGCGGGAGCCUGAACCAGCCAAGUCGCCGUGAAGGAAGAAGGAUCUAUGGUUCGUAAACUUCUUUUGCAGGGGAAUAAAGUGCAGGACGUGUCCUGUUUUGUAUGUACCCUGAGAAUAAGGAUCGGCUAACUCCGUGCCAGCCGCGGC
rnacentral:rRNA from 1 species